UACGUAGGCAGCGAGCGUUGUUCGGAGUUACUGGGCGUAAAGGGUGUGUAGGCGGUUGUUUAAGUUUGGUGUGAAAUCUCCCGGCUCAACCUGGAGACGCCACCUGAUACUGCUGUGACUCGAGUCCGGUAGGGGAGCGUGGAAUUCCUGGUGUAGCGGUGAAAUGCGCAGAUAUCAGGAGGAACACCAGCGGCGAAGGCGGCGCUCUGGGCCGGAACUGACGCUGAGGAGCGAAAGCGUGGGUAGCAAACAGG
rnacentral:rRNA from 1 species